GAUGAACGCUGGCGGCGUGCCUAAUACAUGCAAGUCGAGCGAACAGACGAGGAGCUUGCUCCUCUGACGUUAGCGGCGGACGGGUGAGUAACACGUGGAUAACCUACCUAUAAGACUGGGAUAACUUCGGGAAACCGGAGCUAAUACCGGAUAAUAUAUUGAACCGCAUGGUUCAAUAGUGAAAGACGGUUUUGCUGUCACUUAUAGAUGGAUCCGCGCCGCAUUAGCUAGUUGGUAAGGUAACGGCUUACCAAGGCGACGAUGCGUAGCCGACCUGAGAGGGUGGUCGGCCACACUGGAACUGAGACACGGUCCAGACUCCUACGGGAGGCAGCAGUAGGGAAUCUUACGCAAUGGGCGAAAGCCUGACGGAGCAACGCCGCGUGAGUGAUGAAGGUCUUCGGAUCGUAAAACUCUGUUAUUAGGGAAGAACAAAUGUGUAAGUAACUAUGCACGUCUUGACGGUACCUAAUCAGAAAGCCACGGCUAACUACGUG
rnacentral:rRNA from 1 species